rnacentral:lncRNA from 1 species
CUGAUUGGUCCAAGUUCCGGACUUCCAACGCCGCGAUGUUGAAGUGGUUGAUGUAGGCCCGUAUGGACUCCCCUUCCCUCUGCUUGAUGUUGAUGAGGGACUCCGAACCCUUUCGGGGGCACCGGCUGCUGACAAAAUGGGCCACAAAUUGAUGGCUCAUUUGAUCGAAGAAAAAGAUGGUACCCGAUUUCAAAGCCGAGUACCAGUUCCUCGCUGCUCCCUUCAAAGU